UCUAAAUAACAGCUUACAGGACUGUGUUUGAAAACAAGAAAUGUGAUGUUUGAAGAUAAAUGUUUUGCUGUCUCCUUCUGCUUUAGGAGGGUGAGAUCGGGCCGAACAGUUCGGCUGAAAUCAGCGUGUUCUUUAAGCCCCAGGAAGCCCGGGUCUAUAAGCAAACAGUUUACUGUGAUAUCUCAGGCUGUGAGAAGAGGCUGCCCCUGGUCCUCACUGGGGAAGGACUCGGGCCCCAGCUCAACUUCUACUUUAAGGAAGUGGACAUCGGGGAGGUUUUUGUCAGCGCAAACAACCGCUUUGAGGCAGUCCUGUUUAACAGUGGGCCUAUUGAGGCUCCCUUCAGCCUCACCCCUCCAAGCACAGCCGUGGGCUCCUGCUUCACCUUCCAGCCCCAGGAGGGCAUCGUGGCACCAAAUGCGCUCCAGGCCAUCCGGAUCUCCUUCUGUACCACCAUCCUGGGGGCCUUUGAGGAAGAAUUCAGCUUCCAUGUGACUAAAGCCCCCAAGCCUGCAAC